UACGAGGGGUGCAAGCGUUGCUCGGAAUUACUGGGCGUAAAGUGUGCGUAGGCGGCCUCGCAUGUCGAGUGUGAAAUCCCCGGGCUUAACUUGGGAAUUGCGCUCGAAACUACGGGGCUGGAGUGUGGCAGAGGGAGGUGGAAUUCCACGUGUAGCGGUGAAAUGCGUAGAGAUGUGGAGGAACACCAAUGGCGAAGGCAGCCUCCUGGGCCAACACUGACGCUCAUGCACGAAAGCGUGGGGAGCAAACAGG
rnacentral:misc_RNA from 1 species